GUCCUUAGUUACCAGCACGUUAUGGUGGGCACUCUAAGGAGACUGCCGGUGCAACCGGAGGAAGUGGGGAUGACGUCAAGUCAUCAUGGCCCUUACGGCCUGGGCUACACACGUGCUACAAUGGUCGGUACAAAGGGUUGCCAAGCCGCGAGGUGGAGCUAAGUCCCAUAAAACCGAUCGUAGUCCGGAUCGCAGUCUGCAACUCGACUGCGUGAAGUCGGAAUCGCUAGUAAUCGUGAAUCAGAAUGUCACGGUGAAUACGUUCCCGGGCCUU
rnacentral:rRNA from 1 species